rnacentral:rRNA from 1 species
UACGAAGGGGGCUAGCGUUGCUCGGAAUUACUGGGCGUAAAGCGCACGUAGGCGGUCUUUUAAGUCGGUGGUGAAAUCCUGGAGCUCAACUCCAGAACUGCCUUCGAUACUGGAAGACUUGAGUCCGGGAGAGGUGAGUGGAACUGCGAGUGUAGAGGUGAAAUUCGUAGAUAUUCGCAAGAACACCAGUGGCGAAGGCGGCUCACUGGCCCGGUACUGACGCUGAGGCGCGAAAGCGUGGGUAGCAAACAGG